rnacentral:rRNA from 1 species
UCUUGCACUCGUAUUCAAAAAAAGCAUCUGAUCUCAAAAGCUAAGCAGAAUUGGGCCUGGUUAGUACUUGGAUGGAAAACCACCUGGGAAUACCAAAUACUUUAGGCU